rfam:Cavia porcellus supercont2_44 genomic scaffold, whole genome shotgun sequence.
GGGGAUUUAGCUCAGCGGCAUAAGCACCUGCCUUGCAAGCAGGUAGUCGGGAAUUAGAUCCCCAGUACCGA